rnacentral:rRNA from 1 species
GAACGAACGCUGGCGGCAUGCCUAACACAUGCAAGUCGAACGAGACCUUCGGGUCUAGUGGCGCACGGGUGCGUAACGCGUGGGAACCUGCCCUUAGGUUCGGAAUAACUCCCCGAAAGGGGUGCUAAUACCGGAUAAUGUCUUCGGACCAAAGAUUUAUCGCCUUUGGAUGGGCCCGCGUUGGAUUAGCUAGUUGGUAGGGUAAAAGCCUACCAAGGCGACGAUCCAUAGCUGGUCUGAGAGAAUGAUCAGCCACACUGGGACUGAGACACGGCCCAGACUCCUACGGGAGGCAGCAGUGGGGAAUAUUGGACAAUGGGCGAAAGCCUGAUCCAGCAAUGCCGCGUGAGUGAUGAAGGCCUUAGGGUUGUAAAGCUCUUUUACCCGGGAUGAUAAUGACAGUACCGGGAGAAUAAGCUCCGGCUAACUCCGUG